rnacentral:lncRNA from 1 species
UUUAGUUGAUUACAAGGAGAAAAUAGGUAAUUACACAAAAUAUCUAGAGAUGAAAAUCUAAUUGAGUCGGUGCACAAAUAUCUGAAGAUUACACGGGAAGAUUUCGCAAGGGGUUGUGAAAUUCAUUUUCAACUUGGCGCAGUUGUCUUCAAAUGGCCAUAACUUCUUCAUUUCAGCUCCAAUUUGCACAUCAUUUGAAGCGUUGGACUCUUGACUUCUCGAGCUUUGAAAUGAUAUAUAGUAUGUAUACAAUGGACUCCAGUAAGUGCUCUAAAUUUGUCAUGCAACUGCUUUCCUUUUGAAUUUUGCAUAGCAUGCGAAGAUUUUGCAAUGCCUUUCAAAAUUGCUUCAUGUUGGGUUUCUCUCUGUGUUUUUCUUCCUUGCAUCUCUUGAUUGGAUUGGAAACCUAUUGCCAAGGGUUGCACAAAAUUCUCCCUCAUUCUUGGCUUGCUUCAAUGAUCAAAAAGCUACCAAAAAC